AGAUGACGAGCGGCGGACGGGUGAGUAAUGCUUGGGAACAUGCCUUAAGGUGGGGGACAACAGUUGGAAACGACUGCUAAUACCGCAUAAUGUCUACGGACCAAAGGGGGCUUCGGCUCUCGCCUUUAGAUUGGCCCAAGUGGGAUUAGCUAGUUGGUGAGGUAAUGGCUCACCAAGGCAACGAUCCCUAGCUGGUUUGAGAGGAUGAUCAGCCACACUGGGACUGAGACACGGCCCAGACUCCUACGGGAGGCAGCAGUGGGGAAUAUUGCACAAUGGGCGCAAGCCUGAUGCAGCCAUGCCGCGUGUGUGAAGAAGGCCUUCGGGUUGUAAAGCACUUUCAGUCAGGAGGAAAGGUUAGUAGUUAAUACCCAUUAGGUGUGACGUUACUGACAGAAGAAGCACCGGCUAACUCCGUGCCAGCAGCCGCGGUAAUACGGAGGGUGCGAGCGUUAAUCGGAAUUACUGGGCGUAAAGCGUACGCAGGCGGUUUGUUAAGCGAGAUGUGAAAGCCCCGGGCUCAACCUGGGAACUGCAUUUCGAACUGGCAAACUAGAGUGUGAUAGAGGGUGGUAGAAUUUCAGGUGUAGCGGUGAAAUGCGUAGAGAUCUGAAGGAAUACCGAUGGCGAAGGCAGCCACCUGGGUCAACACUGACGCUCAUGUACGAAAGCGUGGGGAGCAAACGGGAUUAGAUACCCCGGUAGUCCACGCCGUAAACGAUGUCUACUAGAAGCUCGGAACCUCGGUUCUGUUUUUCAAAGCUAACGCAUUAAGUAGAC
rnacentral:rRNA from 1 species